GAUGAAGAACGUAGCGAAAUGCGAUACGUAGUGUGAAUUGCAGAAUUCAGUGAAUCAUCGAAUCUUUGAACGCACAUUGCACCUCUCGGUAUUCCGGGAGGUAUGCCUGUUCGAGCGUCAUUUGUACCCUCAAGCUCUGCUUGGUGUUGGGUGUUUGUUCCGCCUCUGUGUGUGAACUCGCCUCAAAACAAUUGGCAGCCGGCGUACUUGUUUCGGAGCGCAGCACAUUUUGCGAUCCAGAUCAACGUACAGCGGCAUCCAAGAAGCCUUAUUUAACGCUCUUGACCUCGGAUCAGGUAGGGAUACGCGCUGAACUUAAGCAUAUCAAUAAGCGGAGGA
rnacentral:misc_RNA from 1 species